GACGAACGCUGGCGGCGUGCUUAACACAUGCAAGUCGAACGGAAAGGCCCUGCUUUUGUGGGGUGCUCGAGUGGCGAACGGGUGAGUAACACGUGAGUAACCUGCCCUUGACUUUGGGAUAACUUCAGGAAACUGGGGCUAAUACCGGAUAGGAGCUCCUGCUGCAUGGUGGGGGUUGGAAAGUUUCGGCGGUUGGGGAUGGACUCGCGGCUUAUCAGCUUGUUGGUGAGGUAGUGGCUUACGAAGGCUUUGACGGGUAGCCGGCCUGAGAGGGUGACCGGGCACAUUGGUACUGAGAUACGGACCAGACUCCUACGGGAGGCAGCAGGCGGGAAUAUUGCACAACGGGCGGGAGCCUGAUGCAGCAACGUCGCGUGCGGGAUGACGGCCUACGGGUUGUAAACCGCUUUCGCCGUUGACGAAGAGUGAGUGACGAUAAUGGGUAAAGAAGCACCGGCUAACUACGUG
rnacentral:rRNA from 1 species